rnacentral:rRNA from 1 species
GACGAACGCUGGCGGCGUGCUUAACACAUGCAAGUCGAACGGAAAGGCCCUGCUUGCAGGGUACUCGAGUGGCGAACGGGUGAGUAACACGUGGGUGAUCUGCCCUGCACUUCGGGAUAAGCCUUGGAAACUGGGGCUAAUACCGGAUAGGAGCCAUUUUUAGUGUGAUGGUUGGAAAGUUUUUUCGGUGUAGGAGGAGCUCGCGGCCUAUCAGCUUGUUGGUGGGGUAAUGGCCUACCAAGGCGGCGACGGGUAGCCGGCCUGAGAGGGUGGACGGCCACAUUGGGACUGGGACACGGACCAGACUCAUACGGGAGGCAGAAGUGGGGAAUGUUGCAAAAUGGGCGCAAGCCUGAUGCAGCGACGCCGCGUGGGGGAUGACGGGCUUCGGGUUGUAAACUCCUUUCGCUAGGGACGAAGCUUUUUGUGACGGUACCUAGAGAAGAAGCACCGGCUAACUACGUG